ACCCCACUUCCCUUCUCUCCAUCAGAGUCCGAUGCUGGUAGACCAGAGAAUCUAGCUACCCCACUUCCCUUCUCUACAUCAGAAACCGAUGCUGGUAGACCAGAGAAUCUAGCUACCCCACUUCCCUUCUCUACAUCAGAGACCGAUGCUGGUAGACCAGAGAAUCUAGCUACCCCACUUCCCUUCUCUAUAUCAGAGACCGAUGCUGGUAGACCAGAGAAUCUAGCUACCCCACUUCCCUUCUCUCCAUCAGAGACCGAUGCUGGUAGACCAGAGAAUCUAGCUACCCCACUUCCCUUCUCUAUAUCAGAGACCGAUGCUGGUAGACCAGAGAAUCUAGCUACCCCACUUCCCUUCUCUACAUCAGAGACCGAUGCUGGUAGACCAGAGAAUCUAGCUACCCCACUUCCCUUCUCUACAUCAGAGACCGAUGCUGGUAGACCAGAGAAUCUAGCUACCCCACUUCCCUUCUCUACAUCAGAGACCGAUGCUGGUAGACCAGAGAAUCUAGCUACCCCACUUCCCUUCUCUCCAUCAGAGACCGAUGCUGGUAGACCAGAGAAUCUAGCUACCCCACUUCCCUUCUCUACAUCAGAGACCGAUGCUGGUAGACCAGAGAAUCUAGCUACCCCACUUCCCUUCUCUCCAUCAGAGACCGAUGCUGGUAGACCAGAGAAUCUAGCUACCCCACUUCCCUUCUCUCCAUCAGAGACCGAUGCUGGUAGACCAGAGAAUCUAGCUACCCCACUUCCCUUCUCUACAUCAGAGACCGAUGCUGGUAGACCAGAGAAUCUAGCUACCCCACUUCCCUUCUCUAUAUCAGAGACCGAUGCUGGUAGACCAGAGAAUCUAGCUACCCCACUUCCCUUCUCUACAUCAGAGACCGAUGCUGGUAGACCAGAGAAUCUAGCUACCCCACUUCCCUUCUCUACAUCAGAGACCGAUGCUGGUAGACCAGAGAAUCUAGCUACCCCACUUCCCUUCUCUAUAUCAGAGACCGAUGCUGGUAGACCAGAGAAUCUAGCUACCCCACUUCCCUUCUCUACAUCAGAGACCGAUGCUGGUAGACCAGAGAAUCUAGCUACCCCACUUCCCUUCUCUACAUCAGAGACCGAUGCUGGUAGACCAGAGAAUCUAGCUACCCCACUUCCCUUCUCUACAUCAGAGACCGAUGCUGGUAGACCAGAGAAUCUAGCUACCCCACUUCCCUUCUCUCCAUCAGAGACCGAUGCUGGUAGACCAGAGAAUCUAGCUACCCCACUUCCCUUCUCUACAUCAGAGACCGAUGCUGGUAGACCAGAGAAUCUAGCUACCCCACUUCCCUUCUCUAUAUCAGAGACCGAUGCUGGUAGACCAGAGAAUCUAGCUACCCCACUUCCCUUCUCUACAUCAGAGACCGAUGCUGGUAGACCAGAGAAUCUAGCUACCCCCACUUCCCUUCUCUACAUCAGAGACCGAUGCUGGUAG
rnacentral:lncRNA from 1 species